rnacentral:lncRNA from 1 species
AAUCAUUCAUUUUUGACCGUUGGAUCAACAUUUGGAUGAAGAGAUGGAUCAAAUGGAUGGCGCCAUGAAUUGGAACCAUUGGAUUUUCAUCAUAGGAUGAUGGGAGAUCAUGAUGACGUGAUGGAUAUCAUUGGGAGGCGUGGAGAUGAAAAAUAGGUGAAGGAAAGAGAGAGAAUACGUGAAGAUUAAAUGGAUAAGGAUGAACCAUUUAUUUGAUCUUAUCCAUUCUCUCUCUUCUCUCUUCAUCACGCCUAAGGGAUAUAUGGCACCUUCUUUCAUGGCCUUUGGAUCAUCAUCAACACUUGAUGAAUGGAUAAGGUUGGUUCCUAUUUUUCUUGCGUGAGAAGAAGUGAAGAAAGGAAAGAGUACGGCGCAUUUUCAUGAAGAGGUGCUUAGGGAAUCAAGCGCCACAUCAUAAGCGCUUGAUCUUAUCCUAACCACUUUUGAUACGCCUCUCCCUAUUUUUGUGGCGCCUUCUCUCCUCUUAUCACGCCCCAUCUGAAGGAUGUGUGGAUGGGAUGCAUCCU